AUCGACCAAGCAUCCAAUGUGCCUCGGUCAAUCCACUUCUCACCCCUUGUCUACCUACCUUUGUUGCUUUGGCGGGCCUCGUUCGGCGUCGCCGAGACGUUCGCGCUCGGUCGGCGAGUGCCCGUCAAAAGCCUCCCUUCGAUUUCGUUGAUAGAUAGCUACGGUCCGAGGAACAUCAAAUAGCGAAAAACUUUCAACAACGGAUCUCUUGGUUCUGGCAUCGAUGAAGAACGCAGCGAAAUGCGAUAAGUAAUGUGAAUUGCAGAAUUUAGUGAAUCAUCGAAUCUUUGAACGCACAUUGCGCCCCUCGGUAUUCCGGGGAGCAUGCCUGUUCGAGCGUCAUUGCACCCCUCAAGCUUAGCUUGGUGUUGGGUCAGCGCCCCCUACGGGGCGCGCCCGAAAGCCAGUGGCGGUCCGGCGCGGCUCCGAGCGUAGUAAAUUUUCUCCCGCUCUGGAGGUCCGUGGUGGGCUCGCCAUCAGCCCGACGUUCUAUACCAUUGACCUCGGAUCAGGUAGGGAUACCCGCUGAAC
rnacentral:rRNA from 1 species